rnacentral:lncRNA from 1 species
GAGUAGCAAGGAUCUAGUCUCUCCAGGAUUGCUAUGAACUGAGAGUAGAGAAACGGUACGUACCUUGCAGGCAGAUCCCAUCAUGUAGUAGGACUUAGCAAAUGUUGAUUCCUUUGUUUUCUUGUUUUCCCACUUCUCCCCUCUGAAGAAAUAGUUGCUCCAUAGAAAAUCCUCCACAGUACUGAAAUGAGGCUGCCUCACCAUUGGGGAUAGUGAAAAGGACAAUUUCCUUUGAACACACUCAUUUUCUGAUUGAAGAGAAUACAGAGAAUGUGGAUUUUCCUGGUGCCAAGUUGUUCUUCCAUUCCUCGGCCAAGUUUCCAUUCUGAUUAACUCAAGAUUCACUUGGAACCCUUUCCUUGCUAUGGCCAUUAAUCCUAAACUGC